rnacentral:rRNA from 1 species
UAAUACGGAGGGUGCGAGCGUUAGUCGGAAUUACUGGGCGUAAAGCGUGCGCAGGCGGUUUGUUAAGCGAGAUGUGAAAGCCCCGGGCUCAACCUGGGAUGGUCAUUUCGAACUGGCAAGCUAGAGUCUCGUAGAGGGGGGUAGAAUUCCAGGUGUAGCGGUGAAAUGCGUAGAGAUCUGGAGGAAUACCGGUGGCGAAGGCGGCCCCCUGGACGAAGACUGACGCUCAGGCACGAAAGCGUGGGGAGCAAACAGGAUUAGAUACCCUGGUAGUCCACGCCGUAAACGAUGUCUACUCGGAGUUUGGUGUCUAGAACACUGGGCUCUCAAGCUAACGCAUUAAGUAGACCGCCUGGGGAGUACGGCCGCAAGGUUA